AGAGUUUGAUCAUGGCUCAGAACGAACGCUGGCGGCAGGCUUAACACAUGCAAGUCGAACGCCCCGCAAGGGGAGUGGCGCACGGGUGAGUAACGCGUGGGAAUAUGCCCUUCGGUUCGGAAUAACACAGGGAAACUUGUGCUAAUACCGGAUACGAUCUACGGAUGAAAGAUUUAUCGCCGAGGGAGUAGCCCGCGUAGGAUUAGCUAGUUGGUGAGGUAAUGGCUCACCAAGGCGACGAUCCUUAGCUGGUCUGAGAGGAUGAUCAGCCACACUGGGACUGAGACACGGCCCAGACUCCUACGGGAGGCAGCAGUGGGGAAUAUUGGACAAUGGGCGAAAGCCUGAUCCAGCCAUGCCGGGUGAGUGAUGAAGGCCCUAGGGUUGUAAAGCUCUUUCAACGGUGAAGAUAAUGACGGUAACCGUAGAAGAAGCCCCGGCUAACUUCGUGCCAGCAGCCGCGGUAAUAC
rnacentral:rRNA from 1 species